AUACAUGCAAGUCGAGCGGACAGAAGGGAGCUUGCUCCCGGAUGUUAGCGGCGGACGGGUGAGUAACACGUGGGUAACCUGCCUGUAAGACUGGGAUAACUCCGGGAAACCGGAGCUAAUACCGGAUAGUUCCUUGAACCGCAUGGUUCAAGGAUGAAAGACGGUUUCGGCUGUCACUUACAGAUGGACCCGCGGCGCAUUAGCUAGUUGGUGGGGUAAUGGCUCACCAAGGCGACGAUGCGUAGCCGACCUGAGAGGGUGAUCGGCCACACUGGGACUGAGACACGGCCCAGACUCCUACGGGAGGCAGCAGUAGGGAAUCUUCCGAAUGGGACGAAAGUCUGACGGAGCAACGCCGCGUGAGUGAUGAAGGUUUUUCGGAUCGUAAAGCUCUGUUGUUAGGGAAGAACAAGUGCGAGAGUAACUGCUCGCACCUUGACGGUACCUAACCAGAAAGCCACGGCUAACUACGUGCCAGCAGCCGCGGUAAUACGUAGGUGGCAAGCGUUGUCCGGAAUUAUUGGGCGUAAAGGGCUCGCAGGCGGUUUCUUAAGUCUGAUGUGAAAGCCCCCGGGCUCAACCGGGGAGGGUCAUUGGAAAACUGGGAAACUUGAGUGCAGAAGAGGAGAGU
rnacentral:rRNA from 1 species